rnacentral:lncRNA from 1 species
UUGUGUCUGAUUCGUUGGAUAGGUGUUUGUAUAAAGCUCAUCUUUGAUAUGAAGUAGGCUGAGUGGCAAUUGCUGGUUGCAUCCUUUUGUCUUUUUUUUUUUUUUUUUUUUUUUUUUGAGAUGGAGUCUCGCUCUUGUUGUCCAGGCUGGAGUGCAAUGGUGUGAUCUUGGCUUACCGCCGUACACACAUACACAUUCUACCUCCCGUCACGCCCGGGUGGUGAGAGUUAGGGGAACAUGCUUGUCUUGAGCCUGAAGUAGACAAAGAAGCUCCCCUAGUUAAAUUAAAUAUGCAUGUACUCAUUUACACAGCAGUUCUGCUCCUGGGCUCCUAUACCAAAGAAAUCACACCUACCUCCAUCAGAAACAGGUGUGAGGCUUUUUUUCUGGUCGCCCUGCACUUUGCCUUUUCCACUUACAAUUUCAUAUCUAUCCACCUAUCUAUCCAUUAUCUAUCUAUCCAUCUGUCAUCUACCCAUUCAUCUUCCAUCAUCUGUGCACCUGUGUAUCUACAUAUCCAUCACCUGACCAUUCAUCUUCUAUCCAUUUAUCUAUCAUCUAUCCAUCCAUCUUCUAUAUAUUAUCUAUGUAUCUAUCCAUCCAUCAUCUAUUAUCUAUCUAUCUAUCUAUCUAUCUAUCUAUCUGACACCUAUCUCUUAUUGUUGUCCUUCCAUUCCUGUAGAUAUGGACCAACUUCUUCCGUCCUUCUUUUUCUUCUACUUCUCUCUUUCUUUCUUCUUUCUUUCUUUCUCUUUCUUUCUUUCUUUUUCUCUCUCUUUCUCUCUCUCACUCUCUCUUUCUUUCUUUCCUCUCGACCCUGUUUAUUGAUAAUUCAACAGAACCAGUUUGAAAUAUGGAGAAAUUAGGUCAACUCUACACUUUCACAUGGCUUAUUUUCAGCUUCCAAUCUUAGCUAGUGACAUGACUCUUUCUUCCAAGUCGAGGUCUUGCAGCACUUGCCUUCACUCCCGUAGCUGUAGUUAGACAGCACCUUAGGCUUGGGUCGACCCUCGGUGAACUCUAUGCCGUGUCCCGCCGCGCCACAGCACAGCUUUCUCCUCAUUGUCUUCUGGCUCUGACUGUAGACAUGGAAAAAGCAGAGUCAACCUGAAUCUUCUCCCUUGCACGAGGCCAACUGCUGCCUGAAUCAUCAUAGGAUUCUUUACUUUCUCUUGAAGAUAAACAACUUCACCAGAAAAUGUCCAAGUGUUGUUCAGCAAUUGAGAGUUUCUUUUGCUAUGUUUGUUUUCAUCACUUUUACUUCAUACCUUUUUUUUUUCAUUUAAUUUUGUGUCGUUUUUCUCAAGGCUGACACAUCACAAACUCUGUUUUCAACAGUCCGUAUUCCACAUUCAUUGCUUCUAACAUGGAGCUAACUUCUGCAAUGAUGUGGCCACCACUGGAACAGGAAGGUUGCUGUCAGAAUCUGGAGAAAUUCAUGGGAAGUUUAAUGUUGCCAGUGAGAGAAACACUCUGUGAGCUGUUCUUAGGGUCUGCUGGUGAGAUGGCUCAGGAAGGGUAAACACUGGAGGCAUGAGAAUACCAUCGAAGGGGCCGACUGCAGUGCCGGGCAUUGUGUAGGCCACAGCCACCAGUGCCUCCAUGUUUCUGACCAAAUGCUUCAGUGCCCUUUAGUGAGUGUGUCGCAGACAAGGCAUUUUUGUAUGAGAUCCAGGGUUCAUACCAUCAUGAUUCUUAGCCUUCAUAUUCAUCACACACUGGAAGGGACGCUGCGUGCCAGGCGUUCCGGCCGGCCAUCUGCGGGGGAAGGAGGAGCAUGGCCUGGAGAUGUGGAGCUUCUGGGCAGCAUGGCGCUGAAGCGCUGCUAGCUAAGAAUUACUAAACAACUCAGGUUCAGCCAACUCUAAUUUGUGUUUUAU